CAGGACAGCCUCCAAAACAAUACAGAGAAACCCUGUCUCAAAAAACAAAAACAAAAACAAACAAACAAAAGAAUAAAAAUUUAAAAGAUGAGCUGUUUUUUAAAGAAAGAGAAUACACUGUAACAAUGACAAAAUCACAGCAGGUAAAUCAUCAGAUGCAUGUCCCUGAGAGACAACGGGAAUUCUUUCAUAACAGUUGAUGAAGCAACACAGGGUUGGCAGUGGCAGUCAAUCCAGGUGAAUCUACAUUGAGGACUCUCUUCUCUCACGUUUCCUUUUUGCCUCCCCAUCACCUUCUGUCCUGACAUUUGCUCCUGCUGCUCUCCAGAGGAAGAGGGAACCGAGCACGUGACUGGUCCUUCUGCCUGCCAUGUCCCCCUCGUCCCCACCACACUUCCUCACCUGAGAGAACUAUGGGUCACCAGGUUUUCAGUUCCUCCCUCACAACUGAUAUGUGGUACUUUGGAUCUGAGACACCCUAGUCUAAGGAACAUCUCAGCCAAGCCAAUGCACUGAGACUACAUCUCACCACUGAAAGCAUCAGGAGGUGGUACCCACUGCCUUUUAGAGAUGCCUCUAAGCCCUUAGCCUCGGAUCAUUGUGAAGUGUGGUAG